UACAGGGGGUGCAAACGUUGCUCGGAAUCAUUGGGCGUAAAGCGCACGUAGGCGGUCUGUUAUGUCGGAUGUGAAAGCCCUUGGCUCAACUGAGGAAGUGCACCCGAAACUGCCCAGCUUGAGUCUCGGAGAGGAAGGCGGAAUGCUUGGUGUAGAGGUGAAAUUCGUAGAUAUCAAGCGGAACACCGGUGGCGAAGGCGGCCUUCUGGACGAUGACUGACGCUGAGACGCGAAAGCGUGGGGAGCAAACAGG
rnacentral:rRNA from 1 species